CGAUGAACUGGGCUUGCGUGGGGAUUAGUGGCGAACGGGUGAGUAACACGUGAGUAACCUGCCCUUAACUCUGGGAUAAGCCUUGGAAACGGGGUCUAAUACUGGAUAUUGACUUUACCUCGCAUGGGGUUUGGUUGAAAGAUUUAUUGGUUUUGGAUGGACUCGCGGCCUAUCAGCUUGUUGGUGAGGUAAUGGCUCACCAAGGCGACGACGGGUAGCCGGCCUGAGAGGGUGACCGGCCACACUGGGACUGAGACACGGCCCAGACUCCUACGGGAGGCAGCAGUGGGGAAUAUUGCACAAUGGGCGAAAGCCUGAUGCAGCGACGCCGCGUGAGGGAUGACGGCCUUCGGGUUGUAAACCUCUUUCAGUAGGGAACAAGGCCAGCAUUUUUGUUGGUUGAGGGUACUUGCAGAAGAAGCGCCGGCUAACUACGUGCCAGCAGCCGCGGUAAUACGUAGGGCGCAAGCGUUAUCCGGAAUUAUUGGGCGUAAAGAGCUCGUAGGCGGUUUGUCGCGUCUGCCGUGAAAGUCCGGGGCUCAACCCCGGAUCUGCGGUGGGUACGGGCAGACUAGAGUGAUGUAGGGGAGACUGGAAUUCCUGGUGUAGCGGUGAAAUGCGCAGAUAUCAGGAGGAACACCGAUGGCGAAGGCAGGUCUCUGGGCAUUAACUGACGCUGAGGAGCGAAAGCAUGGGGAGCGAACAGGAUUAGAUACCCUGGUAGUCCAUGCCGUAAACGUUGGGCACUAGGUGUGGGGGACAUUCCACGUUUUCCGCGCCGUAGCUAACGCAUUAAGUGCCCCGCCUGGGGAGUACGGCCGCAAGGCUAAAACUCAAAGGAAUUGACGGGGGCCCGCACAAGCGGCGGAGCAUGCGGAUUAAUUCGAUGCAACGCGAAGAACCUUACCAAGGCUUGACAUGAACCGGUAAUACCUGGAAACAGGUGCCCCGCUUGCGGUCGGUUUACAGGUGGUGCAUGGUUGUCGUCAGCUCGUGUCGUGAGAUGUUGGGUUAAGUCCCGCAACGAGCGCAACCCUCGUUCUAUGUUGCCAGCACGUAAUGGUGGGGACUCAUAGGAGACUGCCGGGGUCAACUCGGAGGAAGGUGAGGACGACGUCAAAUCAUCAUGCCCCUUAUGUCUUGGGCUUCACGCAUGCUACAAUGGCCGGUACAAUGGGUUGCGAUACUGUGAGGUGGAGCUAAUCCCAAAAAGCCGGUCUCAGUUCGGAUUGGGGUCUGCAACUCGACCCCAUGAAGUCGGAGUCGCUAGUAAUCGCAGAUCAGCAACGCUGCGGUGAAUACGUUCCCGGGCCUUGUACACACCGCCCGUCAAGUCACGAAAGUUGGUAACACCCGAAGCCGGUGGCCUAACCC
rnacentral:rRNA from 1 species